GGGCCGGUGGCGCAAUGGUAGCGCGCUCCCCUGGCUAGGGAGAGGCUCCGGGUUCGAAUCCCGGCCGGUCCA
rnacentral:tRNA from 1 species